rnacentral:rRNA from 1 species
AGAGUUUGAUCCUGGCUCAGAACGAACGCUGGCGGCAUGCCUAACACAUGCAAGUCGAACGAUCCCUUCGGGGAUAGUGGCGCACGGGUGCGUAACGCGUGGGAAUCUGCCCUUCGGUUCGGGAUAACUCAGGGAAACUUGAGCUAAUACCGGAUGAUGACUUCGGUCCAAAGAUUUAUCGCCGAGGGAUGAGCCCGCGUAGGAUUAGCUUGUUGGUGAGGUAAAGGCUCACCAAGGCGACGAUCCUUAGCUGAUCUGAGAGGAUGAUCAGCCACACUGGGACUGAGACACGGCCCAGACUCCUACGGGAGGCAGCAGUGGGGAAUAUUGGACAAUGGGCGAAAGCCUGAUCCAGCAAUGCCGCGUGAGUGAUGAAGGCCUUAGGGUUGUAAAGCUCUUUUACCCGGGAUGAUAAUGACAGUACCGGGAGAAUAAGCCCCGGCUAACUCCGUGCCAGCAGCCGCGGUAAUACGGAGGGGGCUAGCGUUGUUCGGAAUUACUGGGCGUAAAGCGCACGUAGGCGGCUUUGCAAGUCAGAGGUGAAAGCCCGGGGCUCAACCCCGGAAUUGCCUUUGAGACUGCAUCGCUAGAAUUGUGGAGAGGUAAGUGGAAUUCCGAGUGUAGAGGUGAAAUUCGUAGAUAUUCGGAAGAACACCAGUGGCGAAGCGACUUACUGGACACAUAUUGACGCUGAGGUGCGAAAGCGUGGGGAGCAACAGGAUUAGAUACCCCCGUAGUCCA